rnacentral:rRNA from 1 species
UACGAGGGGUGCAAGCGUUGCUCGGAAUUAUUGGGCGUAAAGGGUAGGUAGGUGGUCUCAUUUGUCUGGGGUGAAAGCCUUGAGCUUAACUCAAGAAGUGCCCCAGAAACGGUGAGACUCGAGUACUGGAGAGGGUCGUGGAAUUCCCGGUGUAGCGGUGAAAUGCGUAGAUAUUCGGAAGAACACCAGUGGCGAAGGCGGCUCACUGGACCGGUAUUGACGCUGAGGUGCGAAAGCGUGGGGAGCAAACAGG